CAAGUAGUGAGGAAGGCGGGGAUGACGUCAAAUCAGCACGGCCCUUACGUCCAGGGCUACACACGUGCUACAAUGGCCGAUACAGAGGGCAGCUACCUGGUGACAGGAUGCAAAUCUCCAAAGUCGGUCUCAGUUCGGAUCGGAGUCUGCAACCCGACUCCGUGAAGUUGGAUUCGCUAGUAAUCGCGCAUCAGCCAUGGCGCGGUGAAUACGUUCCCGGGCCUU
rnacentral:rRNA from 1 species